CAAUAGUGUAUAUUUAAGUUGCUGCAGUUAAAAAGCUCGUAGUUGGAUUUCGGGUGGGAAUGGCCGGUCCGCCGUUUCGGUGUGCACUUGCUACGCCCACCUUGCUGCCGGGGACGUGCUCUUGAGUUCACGCUCGGGACACGGAGUCGGCGAGGUUACUUUGAGUAAAUUAGAGUGUUCAAAGCAGGCCUACGCUCUGAAUACAUUAGCAUGGAAUAACACGAUAGGACUCUGGCCUAUCUUGUUGGUCUGUAGGACCGGAGUAAUGAUUAAGAGGGACAGUCGGGGGCAUUCGUAUUUCAUUGUCAGAGGUGAAAUUCUUGGAUUUAUGAAAGACGAACUACUGCGAAAGCAUUUGCCAAGGAUGUUUUCAUUGA
rnacentral:rRNA from 1 species